GACGAACGCUGGCGGCGUGCUUAACACAUGCAAGUCGAACGGAAAGGCCCUGCUUGCUGGGUACUCGAGUGGCGAACGAGUGGGUAACACGUGGGUGAUCUGCCCUGCACAUCGGGCUAAGCCUGGGAAACUGGGUCUAAUACCGGGUAGGAGCCAGCUUUAGUGUGAUGGUUGGAAAGUUUUUUCGGUGUAGGAUGAGCUCGCGGGCUAUCAGCUUGUUGGUUGGGUAAUGGCCUACCAAGGCGGCGACGGGUAGCCGGCCUGAGAGGGUGGACGGCCACAUUGGGACGGGGAUGCGGCCCAGACUCGUACGGGAGGGAGCAGUGGGGAAUAGUGUACAAUGGGCGCAAGCCUGAUGCAGCGACGCCGCGUGGGGGAUGACGGGCUUCGGGUUGUAAACGCAUUUCGCUAGGGACGAAGCGUUUUGUGACGGUACCUAGAGAAGAAGCACCGGCUAACUACGUG
rnacentral:rRNA from 1 species